ACCAGACUCCUACGGGAGGCAGCAGUGGGGAAUAUUGGGCAAUGGGCGCAAGCCUUACCCAGCAAUACCGCGUGAGUGAAGAAGGUCUUCGGAUUGUAAAGCUCUUUGAUCAGGGACGAACAGAUGACGGUACCUGAAGAACAAGCCCCGGCUAACUACGUGCCAGCAGCCGCGGUAAUACGUAGGGGGCGAGCGUUAUCCGGAUUUACUGGGUGUAAAGGGCGUGUAGGCGGGAAAGCAAGUCAGAUGUGAAAACCAUGGGCUCAACCUGUGGCCUGCAUUUGAAACUGUUUUUCUUGAGUACUGGAGAGGCAGACGGAAUUCCUAGUGUAGCGGUGAAAUGCGUAGAUAUUAGGAGGAACACCAGUGGCGAAGGCGGUCUGCUGGACAGCAACUGACGCUGAGGCGCGAAAGCGUGGGGAGCAAACAGGAUUAGAUACCCCAGUACA
rnacentral:rRNA from 1 species